GGGACCUCCUUUCCAUCAGCAUAAUUGCAUCCAUUCCUCUCUCUUCUUCUUUUCUCAGCCUAGGAGCAAAACAAGGAAGAAGAGUUUGUGGAGUUAAGUUUUUGCUGCUGAAGUUGCUAAUCAAGGGGGGGGUUUUGGACCAUUAGAGUUGAGAAGGAAUUGAAGUUUGAGAAUCCGUAAGGGAAGCUUUUGGAGCUGAGGGAAACUAUCUAGUAAGGAGUUCUUGCUAUAGCUGCUGUGACAAUGUUGAAUUGGACCACUAAGCAGUGAGCAAUUUGAUUUAACUCUGAAUUAAGCCUGGGUGUUUUCAGACUCGGAAAAGUGGUCGAGCACCAACCGGGUACCAUUGGUGCUGAAGAAAACCAUUGAAAUGGAAUUUUCAGCAGAGAGGACUUGAGUGAAGUUGCUGAAUUGGAAUUACAGCUGAAGAAAAUUUGGGAGAAGCUUAAAUCUGGAAUUGCAAGAAGUUGAUGUUGUUGGUGCUGUUGUGCUGCCGAAAUGCAGGGGUGACCCAUUUCAUGCAGUGAGCAAGCUAAAUUAGCACUAAGUUAAAAUCUGGAGCUGAAAUUGCAAUUAUGGUGGAAUUUCUUUGAUGUAUUCAGUGGAGAGUAGAUUUCGAAAGCUGAGAUCACCCUGGUAGAAUACCUAAUUAAGUUAAGGAACUUGCCACCAGAAGCUGCUACUUGUAGAACCUUCGGUGUCCUGGACUGAAAAGAGAAAUUAGAGGAGUUUGAGCUCAAUUGCAAGGAAGAAAGUAGUAAACUAAUUUCAGCAAUGAAGCUUAAUGGCUGCUGGAACUUGAAGCAAGUUAAUUGGAUAAUCAGCUAAGUGGCCGCAGCUGAGGUCGGCGACGCACUAAUUACGGUAGAAGCCGUUUUAGCUCUACUUGCACGGAGUCGCGAGAGCUCGUUAUUGAUACGUUUCGAGACGUGGAUUCUAGUUGUUGACACCACUACAGGGCUAGGUACAGGUUUGCUGGGCGAGGACCGCAUCACGGGCAUCGCGCCCGACCAGUGAGGAUUAUUGGUAGAGUAGUAGCUUUUCUUUUGCAUUAGCACACCUAUGUAUUUGAGAGAG